rnacentral:rRNA from 1 species
AACGAACGCUGGCGGCAGGCCUAACACAUGCAAGUCGAGCGCCCUUUCGGGGGCGCGGCGGACGGGUGAGUACCGCGUGGGAAUAUGCCCUUCUCUACGGAAUAGCCUCGGGAAACUGAGAGUAAUACCGUAUACGCCCUGUGGGGGAAAGAUUUAUCGGGGAAGGAUUAGCCCGCGUUGGAUUAGGUAGUUGGUGGGGUAAUGGCCUACCAAGCCGACGAUCCAUAGCUGGUUUGAGAGGAUGAUCAGCCACACUGGGACUGGGACACGGCCCAGUAUCCUACGGGAAGCAGCAGUGGGGAAUCUUAGACAAUGGGGGCAACCCUGAUCUAGCCAUGCCGCGUGAGUGAUGAAGGCCUUAGGGUUGUAAAGCUCUUUCAGCUGGGAAGAUAAUGACGGUACCAGCAGAAGAAGCCCCGGCUAGCUCCGUG